GGGGCUGUGGGCUAGCCUGGUAGGCUGCCGGCCUCGGGCGCCGGCGGUCGCCGGUUCAAAUCCGGCCAGCCCCACCA
rnacentral:tRNA from 1 species